GAAAUGCGAUAAGUAGUGUGAAUUGCAGAAUUCAGUGAAUCAUCGAAUCUUUGAACGCACAUUGCGCCCCUCGGUAUUCCAUGGGGCAUGCCUGUUCGAGCGUCAUUUGUACCCACAAGCUCUGCUUGGUGUUGGGUGUUUGUCCCGUCUCCGCGCGUGGACUCGCCCCAAAGUGAUUGGCAGCCGGCGUACUGGUCCCGGAGCGCAGCACAUGUCGCGCAAACGAGUGCCUUGGUACGGCGGCGUCCAUAAGCCCCUCUCUCACGCUCUUGACCUCGGAUCAGGUAGGGAUACCCGCUGAACUUAAGC
rnacentral:misc_RNA from 1 species